rnacentral:lncRNA from 13 species
CCCAUUUAUAUUACUAAUGGUAGUGUGGAAGGAGCCCAUCUCACAGCCUCCUGCCCGGCAUUGAGUAUUCUCUGGAAAACAAAGCACUGCUAAUUUGACAGGAAGGACCUUCUAAUGGAAAACAACAACAACCAAUCGUACUAUCGGGUGAUAAGCAAGAGAAGACAAGGAACCAUCAGGACUUUACAUAUCAGGACAAGUCUAUAGAAUUUCAAAUUGGACUUUUCUUGAGCAAAGACAGCACAGCCAUGGAUUGCUGUCAAGUCCCAGACUUCCCAUUUGUAGAGAUGAAGUUCAGGUGUUUGGAGGGGCUGCUCCCCCGUCUCCAUACAAGGAUUUUAGGAAGACAAGAUGUUCUCGGUGGCCAUACAGCAAAGUGAUGUUUCCUAUCUGCUUGGUGGCUGGCAAUGAUGAACUCAGAGCUGGGAUCAGCCAGCCAAGGGUCACCCUCCAACUGCUUGGCAUUCAACACCCCAGCCCUUCUGCGUUAAAUCCAGAAGAAAUCUGCAACUAAGAGAUCCAGGACUAAAGGUUUUCUGUCUCCAGCAUAAACCGUAUCACUAUAGUGUAUGAAGUUUUGCUGGAGACUUAAAAGAUUAUAUUAUCAGAAAACUAUGAUACAAGGAAGAAAAAUGUCUAAGCUGAGUGAACAUCCCCUCUUGGUCCAGGGUUGGCUGACAGUUUGGAAUCUCUUUUGCCUGUCCAUAAAAAGACAAGCAAGGGACAAUUUUAUGUAAUUUUGGAUACUCUUGUGCCCAUGAGCCUCCUUCCCUCAAAGUGACAAAAUGUGACAUCUGGGGAUUGCCUUAUUUUCCACCGCUCUUUAGCCAAUCAUGUCUGCAGAACUUUAUCUGGGCCACAAAACCUACUUUGUAACAAAGGACCCCAACCUUUAUGUUGAAAUGGAAUAACCAGGUUUUUGUCUCCAUGCCCUGGGACCAGUAAUACUUUUGAGAAGGAAAAGAGAAAAUAACCAUGACAAAGAAAAUUCUCUGAGAAGAGGAUAAGGACCCCAAAACAGCCACUGGGACAAUUCUUGCUGGAGAUGACAUGAAACCUUGCAUCUUUUCCACUAUGAUGCGGCUGCUGUUUUCUCUGGGCUGUCAGGAAUCAACGGUGUGUUAGAUGAAAUGUAAAACCCAUCCAUCUGCUGGAAUCCUUUUCCUUGUCUUCUUUUGUCAACGGUGUGACAUUAACAACACCAUAUGACAGUUGCGCCAUGCAUCAAGUACAUGUCUGUUGGUUUCCAAAUGAUUUGUCCAGAGAGAAAUAGAGCAUUACGACCCAAAAAAGGCAGGCGAGGAGAAGGAGCUCUGCCCCCUGCUGUUGCUGAUCAGUAAAGCUCCCCUAGAGGCACUGUACCACGGAAGCUGGAGAGAAGCAGAAAAAGCCUUCUGCGCUCUGGGAAAAAGAAAAGCAACCGUGGGGAGAGGCUGCAACUGCCACUACUGGAAGGAUAAAAACAACUGCCUGUAGCCAUCGCCUGCCCUCAUGGCUGUCCUUUCAUCCAAUCUGGAAUAGUCACUACCGACUUAUGCCAUAUUUUUUGUUUUUAAAUCCUAAACGAUGAGACAUAUCCAUCUUCUGUCUCAGUUGUAUGUGUGUGUGUGAUGGGGUGGAUAUUUACGAGCAACAACAAAACCCCUGAAACUGUAGUUUUGAUCCACCAUGGCACAGAAGACUUUCCGGUAGGCGAGACGGGGGUGUCCGCCCAUAACCUUCAUGUGGAGGAAGACACAGGUCCUAUUUAACAUUACCCAUGUUUGCAUGACUAAUCAGAGGGCGUGCACUGCCGGUGAGUCGAUCAUAAAGGUGACCAAAUAGGACUGGAUUGUUUGGUGACUGAUAAUAAACUGUUCAAGGCUGAUGUAAAAUGCUUGGAU